rnacentral:lncRNA from 1 species
AGCUUAAGUUAUCCGGUUGCAAAAGACUCGAGAAGCUUCCUGCAUUCUGGCAGUUACCAGCUCUGCAAAUUCUUUGCUUGUACGGAUUGGAAAACAUACGUUACUUGUGCAGCAGUGAUACAGCCUUCACAUUUCAGAAACUGAAGAACCUUGAAAUUUUUGAGUUGCCAAACUUUGAGAUAUGGUGGGGCACAAGUGAGGUGCGAGGAGAAAGACCAAUAUUUCCUCUGCUUGAGAAGCUGUUAAUCAAAGAGUGUAAAAGUCUAGCUGCAUUGCCGAAAGCAUCAGUUGUUAAAGAAACAUUUGAAGGAGUCAAGACUGAGUACAGGUCUGCAUUUCCAGCAUUGAAGGAAAUGGAAUUAGAAAAUCUUGAUAUGUUUCAACGAUGGGAGGAUGGCGAAGGAACUCCAGGAGAAGAGCUAACAUUUCAUCGGCUUGAGAAACUAAUAAUUCGGAGUUGCCCAGCGUUGACUACUGUACCCGAAGCACCUAAGCUAAGUGUAUUAGAAGUACAUGGAACCAGCCAACAAAUAUCGUCCCUGCACGCAGCUAGCAGAUAUAUCACUUCAUUGUCCAGCCUGGAGUUGUUAGCCGAUGACACAGAAACAGAAUCGGUGGCUGAACAAAAUUCGAGUGAGUUGGUGCAUGGCAGGGAGAAAUGGGAGCAUAGAUCCCCUCUGGCACGUAUGCAUUUACGGGGAUACAACCUUUUGUUCUCCCACUCAAGUGCACUGCCGCUAUGGACAUGUUUUGCACAGCUCGAACAUUUAACAAUUUGGUGGUGCGACUCUCUUGUCUACUGGCCAGAAAACGUGUUCCAGGCCCUGGUAUCCUUGAGGAAUUUACGUAUUUGGAGAUGCAGCAAACUGACUGGACGCACACAAGAAACUUCUGAGCAAUCUGCUCCAGAACGGAGUGGACUCCUGCCAUGUCUAGAGUCUCUAUCAUUAGAUGAUUGUCCAUCUUUGGUAGAGGUUCCCAACCUACCGGCAUCUCUCAAGACAUUACAUAUUUACAACUUCCAUAUGCUCGGGUCCAUCAUAUUCGGUCAGCAGGAGGAUACAUCAUCAUCACUAAUUCCAGGGUCCAGCAGUACUGAAGCUGUACUGAAGCUGUCAUCAUCAACCAGCCAUCCCUUCCUUCCAUGCCUAGAAUCGCUAGACAUAAUGCUUUGCCGUGGCUUGUCAGAGGUUGCCAAUCUUCCUCCGUCCAUCAAGACCUUGGAGAUUUGGGAAUGCGACAAUCUUCGAUCCUUAUCAGGACAGCUGGAUGCACUCCAAACAUUAAAUAUUAACCGUUGCAGUAAUUUGAAAUCGCUGGAAUCUUGCUUGGGAAGGCUCCCGUCGCUGGAAAACCUCAGCCUUUACAUGUGCAGAAGCCUGCAAUCCUUACCAAAUGGGCCUCAAACGUACUCAUAUCUUAGAGCUCUUUGGAUUCAAUCUUGUCCUGGUAUAAAGUUGCUUCCCUCGAGCCUACAGCAACGUCUGGAUCAUCUCGAGGAGAAAACACUAGAUGCCCGUUAUGAAGGUAACCACCAGUCUAUUUUUUGUCCAUUUCUUUUAAUAAAGUGACCAGGAGCUCAAUUGGUGUUUUGGCAAAAAAAGCAACUAUUGACUUAAUAAGCAUACUAGUAGUUACGACAAGAUGUGGUAGUACAAUUCUGUGAUUAUUUUCCCCGUUAGUUGUCUUAACGUUUUUUCUCGAAAUUCACUAGCUCCAUGACAUAAGGUUUGAAUAUGUGUAAUUUUGUUUAAAUGCCUGAUGCCUUUUUACAUAAAACAUAUUUUUUGCUUGUACAAUACUAUUGGAUGCCGUAUACAAUCAUUCUCCUGUAUAUAUACUUUCCAAUUUGGUGUUGACUUGCAUGCAUAACUUCUGACACCAUCUAUGAUCACGACCUGACCUGCCAGGAUGGGAAUAUUCAAUUAGGAGGCGGCUGGCAUGCUUGAAAUAGCAGAUUGAAGACAUGAUGAAAGUUAUUACCAUGGUUCGUAAUAUUGGUGUGCCUGAUGAUUGAUUUUGUAUGACACUAGCUUCUAAUGCUGACUCCCGUGUUUGACUUCUUUGUAGGAUCGUUGCCAGGGCUGAUUGUGACUCGAGAUACAUUUGCCCUUUCUGAAGGUUAUCACCAGUGAAGUCAAGCUGAAGGCCUUGAUUUUGAGCAGAAAACAAAUGCCGGACUGCAAACGGAAGAAUUUAGCAUACAGAGAUGCAUGCUCCAGUUUUUAAUCCUUCUUUGUUCUUUUCAAGUGUGACGUGUUUGAAUAUGUGUGCGCUCCAGCAUAAGCGAAACACAACCAACACUUGAUGUAAGGAUGUGUUUUUCUACAUGACUGCAGAACAUGCUUGUUGUUCGACAAGCUGGUUUAAGCUGCUGAUUGAAAUGCACUGAAUGUGAUGAACUUCAUUCCAUGUGUGUAUCUAAUACUGAAUGGUGUGCAAGGUGAUCCUGCAAGUCUUCAGAUAGUCCAAUCCUGUGCAUAAGUUUUAUUGUUAAGUCCUGUUUCUCUUGCGGCGUCUUUUCUCCUGUUAAGUCUCCAAUGAAAUUGAAAAGAAUGGUGAUUGCGACGAAUUAUAAGAAAUUAGUUCGGAGAUCAUCAUUUUAGACGAACAACAAAAAAAAAUGGCGAGAAAGUUAUUCUGUAAUUAACUUCCCUGCAAUACAGAAUUCAGAGUUACCAAAUCAGUGAUGCUGCGUCAUGGUCCAUAACGAAUUAACGAUACCAUGAGCCAUAAGAAAUUGGUCAUGAGAACAAUUUAUUUGUAAAGACAAGAAAGUCGUCCUGGAAGCGUCAGGACAAAAAGGUCAAUGCAAAUAGCUGCAUGACUGAGAAGAGCCAGGAAAGGCACCGGCCGGUGAAAGAGCACAUGGUCCGCAAUUCUAGCAUUGUGAAACAAAGCAGAGGGUGAUUAGUUACCCACACAUACUUAGUGCACCAACAUUACCAUAAACUUUCAUUUGGAACGCACGUUACACAAAGUUUUGUAGGCUUGUCAUUUCGAUAAAUAUAUGCUGGGCAUGGCAAACUGCAUCCUACAGCAGGGUGUUGAAAACUAAAGUGCAGAAAGAACACAUAUGCAUCAACCAAAAGACCGCAGCAUCCAGUAAAUCCGAAAACAGAGCAGCCAACUAAUCAUGCAGAAAAGAGCAGGCACGGGGACAAUCAGAAUGGUGAUGCCUUGCUGAUCAUGCAGCAAGGAGCAGACACGAUUGCAUCUUAACUCCAGACUAUCACUAAACCCGUAAAUCCUAAUUCAUGUAAAACUGAACAUAUGCUUGUGAAAUUCCUGCAAAAAUCUUACUACAGAAUUAUUGUGUCCAAAACAGGCCCCAAGAAAUUGACGCCCCUAGUAGACUUAAAUUCCUUCGAUCAUGGCAACGCCAGCAGAUUGUACUACUCAUCAGAGUAUGCAUAUGAACAGGAACAGACCGCACGGCACCGUAGAGUUGGUGCAGUAUGCCAGUACGCCGCCGACGGCUGUCGCCGCCAGCUUCUUCCACUGCGCACUGCCGUCGGCGGGGAGCCCCCUGCCGAACCACACGAGCGCGGCGACGGCCGCGUAGGCGAGGGCGACGAGGGCCAGAGUUGUUUAUCCAAUCGUUUGAUCUUUCAGAGUUGCACGUCUGUUUGUCUACGCUGCCGCAGUUAACAAAGGAGCCGCAUUCUGUGACAAAUCAUGGAUAAAGAUUCUGUGACGUGCUGUACUAAUCUUGAGAGCGAUAGAUUGGAUGCAAUAGUGUCGGACAAAAUUAUUGAUCUUUAUACAUCCAAAACAAAUUGUUGGUCUCCAUAUCCAUAUCAUUUGAACGAGGAGUACUUUGCGACCGGAUUGCAUUCAUUUGAAUAAAAAUCGUCACUCGUCAGAUGCUCUUUUGCCAUUGGGCCUGAAAAGGCUCAGUUUAAACCCUUGUGAGGUGAAAUAUGGGCUUGAGUUGUAAAUCUACCUGCAUCUUAUUUGGAACAUAUCAACACCCACUCGUAAAACUUCCAACUAAAUCCGCCAGCACUUGUUCAAUUCGAUGCACGGCGACGGCGAGGCUGUCCAGCACGCCGGCGAUGGCGGACGCAAGUAUCCGAGCGCGAGCGGCCAGCUUCACACGCUGCUCCAUCGCGUUCCACUCCCUCAGAUGUUCGGAGCGUAGUUUACUAGUUUUGUAAAUACGAGAACAAGGCUACAAAUUAGCACUCUUGAGACGAGACCUUUGCAAUGAAAAACUCAUGUAGAGACAUCGCACUAAUUAUAAGUGCCACAGUAGAAACUCAUGUUGAGACGAGACCUUUGCAACGAUAAACUACAAUUAUAUAUUGAAACAGGGCUCAAACAGCAGCCACACUAGAAAUGCCUACUGUAUCAGAUCACUAAUUAUAGUUGCACCAGGAAUUGAUCUGAACUGAUUCUCGGCAGGAUCAUGGCACCCUAAAUUUAGAUGAAUAUUAUGGUUAUGUUAAAUUUUAUAAUGCCAAAGUUGUAUAAUUUAGAUAUAGGUUUAGGGGUUUACUUUAGAAUAUUUUUAUAAUGAUAGUGGUGGAUAAGUUUUUAGAAAACAUAAUAAACCAAUGGAUAUGAUUAUUAGAAUCUAUAUGAUUUAUAACCAGAUGUUUUUUUAUUUUUUAGAGAAUUUGUAAGAUUAGUCUUUUUUCCUGAUGUGUCUCGUGAGAAUGUGGAGUCUCCAAUUGAAAAAAAAUGAAAGCGUAUAUCUAAAAAUUAAAAUUAUUAACUUCAACUCUCUCUCAUUUGUUAAAUAUUCUAAUGCAAUAUUUAUAUAGAUAUAUACUUAUUAUCUUCAUCUGAUUGUGAUAGGCUUUAAUUAGUAAUUACUCUAUAACGUUUCCAUCUACAUUUAUAAUAUUUCUAUACUUUUCAUCGAGUAUGCGCUUGAAUUUGUUUAGUGAACCAUAAGUUUGAGCUAUAUUUUUAACAUGAAAAUCUAUGUUCUUAUAUCUUUCUCUAUAUAUUUAUAAAUGGUGACACACACGCACCAUGCAUAUAUACUUUAAAUAUUAUUUUCUAUACCAUGCAUAUAUACCUUAAAUAUUUUUAUACAAACAUGUUAUCUCAUGUUAUUUUUAAUAAUGGCAUAAGUGGGUAAUUUAAAUACAAAUUUAAGUGUUACUUUAAGUUAUUUUUUAUAAUGUUAGCUGUGAGCAAUUUAGAUGCAAAUUUAGGGGUUAAAGUAGGUAAUUUAGAUGAAGAUUAGGGUUACUUUAGUUUAUUUUCUAUAAUGGUAGAGGUGGUUAAUUUAGAUAUAAAUUAAGGGGUUACUUUAAGCUAGUUUCAUAAUGGUAGAGGUGGAUAAUUUUUUAGAAAACAUAAUAGAUACAAUGGCUAUGAAGUUUAGUCUACCGAAUCGAUGGAUAGAUGUUUUGCUUUUUUGAGAAAAUUUCUAAAAUUCUCUUUUUUUAGGAUGUUCACCUAAGAAAGUCAUGGCUGGCCAUCAAUAGUUGGAACAUUGAGAGCCAAGCAUUCAACGGGAAGAGCUACCAAUACCAAUCAUUGAUUAUUCUUACACUAAUAAUACACCAAGAAGAUUCUUGUAGCAAAAGGCAAAGCUACCCAACCUAGUGACGAGGAUAGUUUCUAUAGCAUUAAAUAACAUGACAUGUAAGCAAAAGAGUGAUGUGGCAUGAGAGUUACCGAAGGGAGAGAAGGAAAUGGUUUCUCAUGCGAGAAACCAUGUCUACACACAAUCUAAGAAAUGCGGAAGGGGGAUUGGAGAGAAGGGGGAUUGGAGAGGAAAGGAGAGAGGAGAUUGGUUGAUACUUUAUUUUGAAGAAACCAUUUAUUACCAACAUAAUUUAUAUCUAAUGUCUAUAUGACAUGGCAUGUAUAGAAACUACGUGGUGGUGUCUUGGAUUGGGACGGGCCUUCGUAUACUCCAUUGGGGACGUUGCAAUUGACAAACGUACGUUACGAUGAACCCUAGCACAACACAAAUGAGCGCCUGAUGCACGAACAACCAAAGCAUAAUUAAUGAAGGGAAAGAAUGAUCAAUUGCUACUCCCUCCGUUCUUUCUCAUUUGAUAGCCAUAUUUCCAAAUCUAAAAAUUUCUCUUUUGAUAAUCUUAUUUGAGUCCAACUAUCCAUCCAAUUAAUAGUUAUCUCAGAUCCAAUGCGUGACUCUUCAUUCUUCCAAUCGAGAGUCACAUGAUUUUUCAUGCGAAAUAUGCUUGUGUGCGGUGCAUGGGAUUCGAACCCACAACCUCAAGCCUCGUGCGUAGCUUCCUUAUCAUCUCACCUACACAGCACAUCUGACUGAGUAGGGGAUGCAAUACUUUUGUAGUAACUCGUGGCCCUUUAGUCCCGGACUAAAGGUGUCUCCAUGGACGACGAAAUUUAGACUCGGGACUGAAGCAUCUUUAGUCCCGGAUCAAAAACAAUCGAGAUUUUUGUUGAGGAUGGAAGGUUAUUUUUCCACUGGUGUUUACUAAUUAGGAGUAUAGUCACUAAACCAGUUCAUCAGUAGGCCUAGCCAUUCUGAAGGCGUUGCCGGUGGCAGCACCGCAGUCGACGCCGUCCAGUUCUUAGUACUGCUGGCCUUGGCAGAGGCGGCGGAGUAUGAACACAUAGAAGCCUGUGAGCAUGACGAUGGGCACCACUAACAAGACGGUGAACACCAGCACGGUUAGCAAGGCUUGCGGUGCUUGGUACGCCAGCCAGCAAGCAGAUGAGGAGCGCGUUCAGGACCCAAGAGGCGACGUUCAGCUGCCGCCGCUCCCCGGGUGGCGAUUCCGGCGUGAGCUGCUCGGUGCGGUGGAGUCAGACGAAGACUGCGGCAAGGAGUGCAUAGGGACCCACGAUGACGGCCAGCUCCACCGGGUCGCAGCGUGCCCGCCAUGCCAACAGGGCGAUGCUGUAGGCUAUGAGGGUGAUGACGGCGACGCGGGACAGGCACGUGACGGUGAGCAGCGCUCUAACCGCUCUUCUUCUUCUUGCAUGGGCCUCCUCGGCUGGUGGCUGUGCGUGGUGGGAUUGGCGGCGGAUUGACAAACAAUGCAUCGAUAGCUGUCUUGAGGUUUUUUCAUGAGAAUUGAGGAUAUCUGUCAUCAGGUUUAGGAUAGAAAUCUGUUGAAUUUCAUAUCGGAUUUUGAUCGGAGAUGGCAAGUCCCCUUGUUUCUAGAGUGGUGCCUUCUCUUCUCCGGCGAUAGCGACAUUAGGGUUAGGGUCUAAAGGAUUUGGGAUUUGGAUGCUGUCGGAUUAGAGAGAAGCUUGGGGAGGUCGUUUGCCAGGCAGUGAAGCUAGGUGGGAUAAUGGGGUUGUAGGAUAGCCCCCGAUAUUGGUCAUCAGGCAGUGCAGCUAUGCUAGACAUGUGUGGCUGUUAGUGAGUAAUUGGACCCAAGGAGUACUCAAGGUGCCGGAGAUAAAUGAAGCUGACAUUGAGGAAUGGUGGAAGAGGUCUCUAGGGGCAGUCACAAUAAAAGAAAGAAGAUCAACAGCUGCCAUCUUAAUGUUCUCAGCUUGGAAUAUUCGGAAAGAGAUGAACAGGAGAGUGUUUGAAGGAGAGAGUCUGUGCCCAGAUCAAGUUUUCUCAAUAAUUCAAAAUGGUAUCAACAUGAGAAGGAGUGCAUGUGGAAACCCAGCUGUGGGUUUGAGUAGCUCGUAAUAAAUUAUGUUAGCUUCUUUUUCAAUGCAAGAGACAUUUAUCUUAUGUAAUAUCGAACUUAUUGUAACCAUAAAUUUCAAUCUCCUUAAAUGAAUCGGCAGUGCUCUGCCUCUUUUUUUUUUUAAAAAAAAGAUACCGCCCGACGCAAUGGUGGAGAACAACGGUUGAGGACAGGAGUGCUGGAUGUUGGAUGCUACGUGUCUCAAGUGUGUUGCUUGCAAUGGUGUAGGUGUGCAUUACGGCUCAUGUAUUGUAUAUCAUCACUAGUUAGAUUGGUGCGCUUUGUGUCACUAGUAGAGAAUUGGCUUUCGAUCCGCCCCCUUUUGUCCCGGUUUAAAGUUGGCCCGGGACAAAAGGGGGUGCGCCACGGUAGGCAAAAAUGGAGGGGAGAUUUACUCCCGGUUGGUAAUUGCAACCGGGACUAAAGGCCCCCCUUUAGUCCCGGUUGCAACGACUAGUGGGGGGCUGUCGGUGGCGGCACCCUUUUAUCCCGGUUGGAGCCUCGAACCGGGACUAAACUUUCAACCGGGACAAAAGGUGUUCCUUUUUGUCUCGGUUGGAGUUUUUAACCGGGAUAAAAACUCAUCCCCAUUAUAUACGGCCAAGACAGAGGACUUUCUUCCUCCUCCAGCCCGAGCCAGUCCAGCACAUUGACAGAGAGAGCUGAGCUUCACCUACUCUCCGGUGGUGCCGAAGCAAGCAAGGGAGGUGCUGCCCGAAGUUUUUCCCUCAUUUUCGUGGGAAUUUCACUCGGCCAACACAAGUGUUGCGAAGGUUUGCUACUUCAUCCUCGUGUUAUGCUUUGAUUUAUGCUUUGGAGAUGGAAAGAUUAUUUGCUAGAAUGUGAUGAUGAAGUAGAAAAAUGGAGAGGUAUUUUGAGCUAGAAUGUGAGGGAGAUUGAUGUGUCAUAUAUAGUAUACAUUAUUGCAGUGGUUUAAAAAUGAUGCUACCUUGUCUAGACGGUUUAUCUUAUCAAAUUCAAUAUGGUUUUUUAAAUCCAUACUUGUUGAACUUGCAUACCGUGUUCAUUUCUGCUACGAUGUUCUCCGCCGAGCAGCAACGUAUGUCAAGAAGGAGGUUCGAUUCUACGAGAAAGAGUGGAUACGGACAUCGUGACCGUGUCCCCUUUUCCGUAGCAUCUAACCUCUUUCAUGACGAAGUGCGGUGCCGCCCAGUUGAGGACAUCCUCGCGAGAUGAUCACAGUCUUCAAGUUCAACAACUUAUGCAGUGUUAAGGUAAUAAUUUUUGUACAUAGAUGGCUUCUGCUACUGGAGGAAGUGGUGAUGGUGGGGGCGAUCGUGGUUCCUAUUUCGGCAAGGUUCCAAUCAUAGUUGGCCCUCAGCAUAAGCUGAAGAAAAAGAGCGCGCUGGAAAAAGCAAUGCUUCGUUAUUUGCAGCAACAUCAUGAAGAAGCUGUUGCCGCGGGUCAGGAACCUCCUUUUGGUGGUCGUUAUGCUCCACCCUCAGUCCCGGGUGUUUCACGUCCACUUAGUACUACCGUUUCAGGCGGCACAAAUAAACCUAAAGAUGAGGUUGGGUCAGCGGAACCUUCGUCUUCACCGUCCAAGGAUGCUUAAAGUCCUCCUUGAUAAUAACCAGUCGAUGGCUUGUUGUAUUGUAUCAUGUUGUUUGGGACUUUAAUUUAAAUAUGUGUAUUUGGAUCUUCAUGUUGUUGUAUUGUACCAUGUUGUUUGGAUCUUUAAUCGAUUUUCACACGUAAUCCAUUGUCAAGUGUAAUCCAUUUUCAUGCGUAAUACGAUGUAGAUGGACCGACAAUGGAUGUAUAAUGCAGACAGGCGGAGCAAGGCGUUUAUUGAUGGCUUGCAUUAUUUUCUCGAAGUGGCAAAAGCGAACAAGCUAGAGAAUGGGUUCGUAUGUUGUCCAUGCUUCCAAUGCAAUAACAAGAAGGAGUAUUCAAAGGAUUCCUGGGGGACUAUUCACAGCCACUUGUUUAAAUACGGUUUCAUGCAUAACUAUUUGGUUUGGACCAAGCACGGUGAACUAGGGGUUGUAAUGGAAGAUGGCGAGGAGGAGGAAGAUGACACCAUUCCGGAUUGGGUUGCAGGCCAAGCUUUUGCAGGUACUACAAUGGGCGAGGCUGAUGAAGAUGAGUUUGCAGAAAAUGGCCCUACUGAUGACCUUGGUCAGGUGAUACGAGAUGCAUACAGAGAUUGCGAAACUGAGAAGGAAGCAGCAAAGUUGCAGCGCAUGAUAGAUGAUCACCAAAAAUUGUUGUACCUAGGUUGCCAGCAGGGCCAUAAAAAACUAGGUACGACACUAGAAUUUGUGCAAUGGAAGGCAAAAAAUGGUGUGUCCGAUAAGGCAUUUCAGGGGAUGUUGAACAUUGUCAAGAAGAUUCUCCCCGAGAAUAAUGAAUUACCGUCCACAACAUAUGAAGCUAAACAGAUUAUUUGCCCUCUCGGAUUGGAUGUUCAGAAGAUACACGCAUGCCCUAAUGAUUGUAUCCUCUAUCGUGGUGAUGAAUACGAGAAAUUGGAUGCUUGUUCCAUCUGCGAAGCCCUGCGGUAUAAGAUCAGGCGAGAUGAUCCUGGUGAUGUCGAGGGGCAGUCUCCCAAGAAGAGAGUUCCCGCGAAGGUGAUGUGGUAUUUCCCUAUAAUACCAUGCUUGAAGCGCUUGUUCAGGAACAAGGCGAAUGCUAAGUUGAUGCGAUGGCACAAAGAAGACCGUAAGGAAGAUGAGAUGCUGAGACACCCCGCAGAUGGGGCACAGUGGAGAUCAAUUGAUAGAACAUUCCCAGACAUUGAAAGUGAAGCAAGGAACAUAAGGUUUGGUUUAAGCACUGAUGGAUUCAAUCCAUUCGGUGAGUUGAGUAGUGGCCAUAGUAUUUGGCCUGUGACCCUUUGUAUGUUCAACCUUCCUCCUUGGCUGUGCAUGAAGCGGAAGUUCAUUAUGAUGCCGGCACUUAUUGAAGGCCCAAAACAACCCGGCAACGACAUUGACGUGUACCUAAGGCCGUUGGUUGAUGACCUUUUACAGCUCUGGAAGGAAGAAGGUGUACGUGUGUGGGAUAAGGAUAGACAAGAGAUCUUUAAUCUACGAUCAUUGUUGUUCGUAACCAUCAAUGAUUGGCCUGCAUUGAGUAACCUUUCAGGACAGACAAAUAAGGGAUAUCGGGUAUGCACCCACUGUUUAGACGACACAGCCAGCAUGUACUUGAAGCACUGUAAGAAGGUCGUCUAUAUGGGUCAUCGUCGAUUUCUCCCUGCUCACCACCAGCUGAGAAAGAGCGGGAUGCAUUUCAAAGGGGCGCCAGACCAUCGUAAAAAACCUGCACACCGUAAUGGAAAGCAUGUGUUCGAGAUGAUGAAGGAUGUAAAUGUAGUCUUUGGAAAGGGACUUGGUAGCCAACCUGUUCCGAACGACGAUAACGGACAUGCACCCAUGUGGAAGAAAAAGUCAAUAUUUUGGGAGCUACCUUAUUGGGAAAUCCUAGAGGUUCGCAACGCAAUAGACGUGAUGCACCUGACGAAGAAUCUUUGCGUGAACGUGCUAGGCUUCAUGGGUGUUUAUGGAACCUCAAAAGAUACAUUGGAAGCACGACAGGACUUGAAAGCCAUGGGGCAACAAGAUGACCUACAUCCGGAAAAGAGAGAUAAUGGACAGCACUACUUACGUCCUGCCAGUUACACUCUCAGCAAGGAAGAGAAGGAUAGCAUGUUUGAAUGCUUGAAUAGUAUGAAGGUCCCGUCUGGGUACUCCUCGAAUAUAAAGGGAAUAAUAAAUAUGAAACAAAAGAAGUUUACAAAUCUCAUGGCUCACGACUGCCACAUGUUGAUGAUCCAGUUGCUUCCGGUUGCACUGAGGGGUGUUCUACCAGAAAAUGUCCGGUUGCCGCUCGUAAAGCUAUGCACAUUUCUCAAUGCGAUUUCGCAGAAGGCAAUCGAUCCAUCCAAGCUAUCAAAGCUACAGAAUGAUGUGGUGCAAUGUCUUGUCAGUUUUGAGUUGUUAUUUCCACCAUCCUUCUUCAAUAUUAUGACGCACUUACUGGUUCACCUAGUAAAAGAGAUUGGUAUUCUCGGAUCUGUAUACCUGCACAAUAUGUGGCCUUUCGAGAGGUUCAUGGCAGUCCUAAAAAACUAUGUUCUUAAUCGUGCCUGUCCAGAAGGAAGCAUCGCCAAGGGAUAUGGAACAGAGGAGGUGAUCGAGUUUUGUAUUGAUUUUAUUGAUUCAAUUGACUCGAUUGGGGUUCCAACUUCACGCCACGAGGGGAGGCUCCGAGGAAUGGGCACCCUUGGAAGGAAAUCAAGUUUGAGCAAUGAUACUGAUUUGUUCGACAAGGCACACUACACUGUUCUACAAUAGUCAUCCUUUGUGUNNNNNNNNNNNNNNNNNNNNNNNNNNNNNNNNNNNNNNNNNNNNNNNNNNNNNNNNNNNNNNNNNNNNNNNNNNNNNNNNNNNNNNNNNNNNNNNNNNNNCCUGGUUGCGCCAACAACUUAUGGGUAACUCUGAGAUUCACCCACAGCUUGCCUGGUUAGCCAGGGGACCUGCUAGCACAAUCGUCGAAUUCCAAGGCUAUGAGAUAAAUGGUUACACAUUUUACACGAGAGCCCAGGACCAGAAAAGCACGAACCAGAAUAGUGGUGUCCGCAUAGAUGCCAUGGACAGAAAUAAUAGUAAGGAGUCGUAUUAUGGUUUCAUACAGGAGAUAUGGGAACUCGAAUACGGACCGCUGUACAUCCCUCUAUUUCUUUGCAAUUGGGUGAAGCUAACUGCCAUCACCAAAGAUCAGUACGGAAUGACAAUAGUAGAUCUGAGCAAGACUGGAUACAGUGAUGACCCAUUCGUACUUGCCAAUGAUGUGCAUCAGGUGUUCUAUGUGAAGGACAUGUGUAGCAAACCCAAGAGGAAUCCAGAAGAGACAUGGGAGCCAAAGUGCCACAUAGUUCUUCCAGGUAAAAGAAAAAUCGUGGGAGUCGAGGAUAAAACAGACCAAUCAGAUGAUUAUGAUCAGUUUGAUGGCAUGCCUCCAUUCGCUGUUGAGGUUGAUCCAAGCAUCCUGCUAUCCAAAGAAGAGGCUCCGUACUUACGCCGCGAUCAUGAUCAAGGAACUUUCGUGAAGAAGAAAUUUUACAACGUUGUAUUGUAAUGCGUUAAAUGUACAUGACCUUUGUGUAUUAAUUGAUACAAUUUGUAAUUUACCCUAUGUAUGAUUUCAUGUGUUCUUAAAUUUGUUAGGUGAAGAUUUUUUUAGAUAAACAUGAACAAUGUUAACCACAUACAAACAUGGAUUUUUCUGCGCAUUGAAAUUAUUUAAUUGAAUAAUUUCUUGAUCACAGCAAUGCAGUAAAAUAAAUAUUUUAGAGGCUAAAUGAACUGGUAUAGAAUUAAUGAUUAAUUCAUACUUAUUGUCAAUUUACUCGUUAAUUAAAUAUAUUUUUGUAUGUACAAAAUCUGUGAUGGUUUUGUUUUUCAUCCUGAAAUGCAGUGAAAAGAUAAAAUAAAAUCUAUUUCCAAAAAACAGGCGGGAGAAGAAAACUAGGAAAAAAGACCUUUUGUCUCGGGUGCUAACAGCAACCGGGACAAAAGGCCCCCCUUUUAUCCCGGUUGCAAACGGCAACCGGGAUAAAAGGGUACUUUUUGUCUCCCGCCCGGACGUACCCUUUUAUCCCGGUUGCCAACUGCAACCGGGAUAAAAGCCCCCCCCUUUUUUCCCGGUUGAUGGUGGCACCCGGGAUAAAAGGGUACGCUCCCAGCCCCACCUAGCGGACGCACCCUUUUGUCCCGGGUACCAUUACGAACUGGGAUAAAAGGGGGGGGGGGUUAAAAGGGACUGUACUCCCUUCUACCCCCGCUAGUUACACUUAGCAAAAUUUUCGCCAAGUCCCGCGCGUUCUGCUCUGCCGUCGCCGCCUGUCCGCCUCCCUCGCCGGGCGCCGCCGUCGUCGUCCCCCAUUGCACCGGCUGUCGUCGUCCCGCCGCCGACCGCGCCCAGACAUCGUCGUCCUCCAUCACCCCAGCCGGCCCGCCUCAAUCCUCCUCGUCCGUCGCGCCCGGCCCCCACCUCGUCGCCUCCGGCCACCGGCUCCAUCCUCGUCGCCGCCUCGAUCCUCGUCGCCGCCUCGUCGCCCCUCGUCGCCCCUCGUCGCCGCCUCGUCGCCGUCCCACCUACGUCGUCCCGCCGUCCUGCGCGCCUUGGUGGCUCAUCGUCGUCACCUCGGCCGCCGUCCUCGCCGCACCGGCCGCCGCCGUCUCGCCGCCCGGCCGCCGCCGUCCCGCCGACCCGGCCAACUCGUCGCCCCGGCCACCGUCGACGACCGCGCGCGAGAGGUCCGCCGCCGCGCCGGCCGGCACUGGUGCCGGGAGGGCCUUUUUUUUUAAGUUAGAAAAUUAAGUUAUAUUUUUAUGAUAGAUUUUUAAGUAUGAUUGUUAAGUUAGAAAUUUAAGUUAUAUUUUUAAGUUAGAUUUUUUAGUUAGAUUGUUAAGUUAGAUUUUUAAGUUAGAUUUUUAAGUUAGAUUUUUAAGUUAGAUUUUUUUUAAGUUAGAUUUUUGUAUAUGUGUCCCCUCUGCCGUCCCGCCGCCGUGACCGCCGCCGUCACAACCUAGUAGGCACCGCCCGUGGUUCCGGGGAACCGUCCCCGCCUCCACUGUACCGCCGCCCUGACCGCCGCCGUCACAAUCUAGGCACCACCCGUGGUUCCAGGGAACCGUCCCCGCCUCCGCCGCCCUGACCGCCGCCGUCACAACCUAGGCACCGCAUGUGGUUAUUGCUAGAAAUUCGUAGAAAUUCAUAGAAAUUCGUAGAAAUUUGUAUAAAUAUUCCGAACUUUGUAGGAUUCAUGUUAUUUUAUGAUUUCAUUAUAUACAUGUAUGAUUCCGAACUUUGUAGGACUUUGUAGAAAUUUGUAGUAAGACGAUUUCUAUGACUGUCAUGUAUGAUUCCAUGUAUGUUUCAAUCAAUAGUUGAAAUGGCAGACGAUGAGACCGCAAGGUAUAUCAUGGAGCAGAUAAUCGCUGGUGAUGGUAGUGGCGACAACGUUCCACUAUCAUACACGGAUGAAGAGGGCACCCAGGCGGACAUGUUCCUCAACAUGUCCGCCGAUGGGAAUGAAGAGCAACAGCCGCAGCAACAACUUGCCGUGGCGGAAGGUUCCGACGAGGUAUAUAUAACCAUUCUUGUAUUGUUUCAUGCCACCGUUACUACUACUUACUAAUUAACGAAUCUUGAACUGUUAGCCCUCCGGAUCGACGCAGGGCAGAAGACCCGAGGUCGUACAAAGGUGAUGGAAGGGAGGCUUGUCAUCACGGAAGUGACAGAAGAGGGCAGGCCGGUUGCUCCCGAGAAAGUAGCAAAGAAGUACGUGAGUCAGAUCGGGGCAAUCGUCCGAGACAACGUGCCUAUCAGCAUCAGAGAAUGGAAGGGCAGAAGCACUAAUCCGUACGCCCUCACGGAGACAGAAAAGAAUAUGCUGUGGGAAGACGUGAAGAGACAUUUCACAUUCCCCGAAGAUAUAGUGAGAAUGAUGUCAAAGCGUGACGCUUAAGAAGAUGGCUACUCAAUUUCAGACAUUCAAGAAGAUGCUGGAUACCCACUACAUUAAGAAGGGCCGAAGUCCAGACUUCAACGCGUGGCCAAAGUUGAGGGACCGCUGGGAUGCAUUUGUUGAAUAUAAGAGGAGUGAAGACGGUGUGAAAAAGAUCACGACCAACACAGCAAAUGCUAGUCAGAAGGGCUACCACCAUCAUUUGGGGUGAGGUGGGUAUGGCUCAGCAAUUCCCAAGUGGAGGAAGACAGAACAAGAUCUGAUCGAACGGGGAAUCGUACCUGCAACUAUUGAAUGGCCCGAACGAUAAAAAAAUUGGUACUACGCUCAUGGAGGCUCCCUAAGCCAAGAGGAUGAGACGUUGAUUUUUAAUGACACAAUAUGUGAGGAGGUCGAACAUCUUGUGAAGAACAUUGAAGAUUCUAAGGCUGGGAGGUUGAAGGUGGACCGAGAAAAUGAUGAGCUCACAUUGGCCCUCGGUAAUCCAGAGCACCCAGGACGUUGCCGAGGGUUCGGGGUGGUUCCAUGGAAGUUUGCUUUCCGAGGCGACAACGCCUCGUACAGAAGCCGGAAGCGAAGAAAGGAACAGAUCGAGGAGAGCUGGCGGCAGAUGCUAGAAUCUAAAGUGCAGGCACAAGAACAAAGAAUGAUGGAGGAAAUCAAUCGGCGGGUGGCCCACGCAGUUGCGGAGUUGGCCCAAUCUGGAGCAUUGCCGAUUCCUAACACCGCCAGCCCUUCUCAACGCCUCUUGAGCAGUUGUGCUUCUACAGGGGUCCCCGAUGCGCAGACGCCCAGGUUACCCGUGGAGGAGCAAUGGUUCCCCGUGGAUGCCAUCACACAACGGACCUCAUGUGAGCUGCAUGCACCGGUCGGCAACCUCACUAUUAAGGUAUACUUAUACAUAAUAUUUAUGCAAUCUUGUCAAUUGAUCCAGGCCUCGAGAUCGGAGUUCAACUUGUUUACUUCUGCUAUAUGUACAGGUAGCAUACGGGAGUGCGUUAGCAACCCUGGCGGGGCAGAGCAGUCAUGGCAUGGAAAUUCCACCAGGCUACGCCAGCGUCUGCGUAGAGCAAAUAGUUGAUAGCCAGUAUGAAGGUCUAGAGCUCGACUUCCCGGGAGGCGACGGGGAAAAGACAUUGGCAGAUGCGCUUCAUGGGAUCAUUCUAUGGCAAAAACGCUACACCAUUAUUCCCGGCACGGAGCCAUCUCCUCAGACCUCAAGACCGCUCCCCGUAGAUCCCCAGCAGCGACCUUCUCCUCAUACCUCGAGACCGUCAUCUCCUGCUCCAGGACCGUCCCUUCCAUCUAUAUCAAGGUCUCCAUCUCCACCACAUCCUGGUGCUGGGAGCGACGACGACAAUAACAACACCCCUCCCCGAUCACCGUCGUCGGCACCAAGAGCGGCCCCCUUGAAGGAACCUGCACCACCACUAAAGAAGUCACGAGCACCGCCUCCCAAGCAAAGACAGAGAAAGAAUAAAAACAAAGGAGCCUGAAGUGACUCGUAAGGAACGCUGGGAGGCAAUGUCUCAUGCGGAACAGUGGGCAGAAAUCCAAUGAGAGGCCAGUGAGUGGUUCAAGAAACAAGCCGAAGAAAAAAAAGUAAGGGAGAUGGAGCCACCGCCAGUAAGUCGGCGAGAUUUAAACUUUUUUAUCAGGAUGGAAGAAGGAGGCAAGAAAAGGAUACCACUCUUGUCAAACUAUAAACGGGCUCUAGUAAAGGCUGAUGAAAAGGAUAAAAGGAAAGGAAAGUCAUCUUCCAGCGGUCCAGUCCCCGACCUCAGCCAUUUAUCAAAAAAAGAUGCUCAACGGGUAAAAGCAAUGCCCUUGGAUCAACAAGCAAAUGUAUUGAAGUUCAUGGAAGAAACAGGUCUGAGACUUGAUCAAUGCAUAGGGCAAGUUGAGACGCCAACUGCACCGCCCCCUGAGCCGAGAUGGCCUUAUGAGCUAGGAAAACCUCUUGUAAAGCCUUCAUUGGUACGGAAGCUAUCAACAAAGAUGUACGCAUUCCAUCAAUGGUACAUGAUGGCAUCCGCCGACUCGAGGGAGAUGAUCGGCAUGAAGGUAAAACCGAUAGAUUUUCACGGUGAAGGGGAGAAAGUGCUGUGGUUAGACUUCAAGGAUAUAUACGAAGUGUACCAUCAUGAUGCCCUGAAUGUCUCUCUGAUCAGCGCUUGGGUUCUGUAUGUUGGAGGUAUGCCCUAGAGGCAAUCAUAGAGAUGAUGAUAUUCCAUUUGUAUCCAUGAUUUGUAUAUUGUGUUCAUUGAAUAUCCAUUAAAGGCUACUUGAAUUGAUUUGCAAUUAUGUGAAUUGUAUGUGAAACUCUUUACUUGUAUGGUUAUUCUAAAGUUGUCCCUAGUCGGAGUUCAUGUGAGGACACACAUGAAUAUUAGACUAGCACAUGUAUUAGUUGAUGACUAUGUUUCACAAGUCAUGGACAUGGAGAUGUUGAACUAAUAAUGUGGACACAUGUGGAGACAUGUGCUAGGACUGACCCAACACGAGAAGUAGUUCUCUCUUUAAACAACAUAUACGCUUUGUCCUUAGACCUGAGAUUGUCGCAUGUAUUCUAGAUGUGGAUCGACCUACUUAGGGGCUAUCAAACGCUACGCCGUAACAGGGUAGUUAUAAAGGUAGCUUUCGGGUUUGUCAAGAAGCAUGCUAUGAGACAUGGUCAAUCAAGAUGGGAUUUGCCCCUCUCUGAUUGAGAGUGAUAUCUCUGGGCCCCUCGAGUGAUCGGAUCCGAAAAUGCAUGGCCAUGCUACGUACGGUUAAGAGUUAACCUACAAAGGGAUUCCGGAUCACAGGAUCGAGAAAGAGCGGUCGGCUUGUAGCUAGACCAAAUAUCGUGAGGCAAAGGGAAUAGCAUGUAUAUUAUGUUGUGAUGGUUCGUCUGAUAUGAUCUUCGUGUGCGUAUAGGAGUUGGCACGUCUUGCUAGAGGCCGCUACCGACUAUUGGGCCGAGUAGGAGUACUCGGGCCAUGUCUAUACGUAUCCGAACCUAUAGGGUCACACACUUAAGGGGCUCGAAGCCCAAUUCGGAUCUAAUCCGAGUUGGAUUAGGUUUAGAAGUGCUAAUGGGCCUCGGAUCCAGAGGCCCGUCAGGAACCUCUAUAAAUAGAGGGGUGGGGGCGCCCUAGGGUUUACACCUUUUUGGCGAAACACACCUGCCGCGCCUCCCACGCCCUCGCCUGUUGCAACUCGCGGAUCUAGCAGUCCGGCUUGCGACGCUUCCUCCCUGCACGUGUGGAUACCUUGGAGGUGUUGCGCCUGCAGCACUUGGACGAGCCAUCGACGAGCCGCCGACGAGCCACGACGAGCCGCGGCACCGGAGGUGAUCUUGCUGCACGUGGACGAGCUGCUGAGGAGCUGCUGGACGUGAUCGACUACGCACGACUACGUUGAUCGACUACGUACGACUACGUGAUCGUCUUCACUGCAUCGACGCAUAUCUACAUCUUCCGCACCAGUAGUGCGUCGAGUGGUAAUCCCGUGAUCCUUAUACGGCAGUUCUUCCUGGUUAUACGCGGUAGAAUUUUUGUUUUGCGCUAGCGUAGCCUACCUCGUAUCCCUACAGUGGUAUCAGAGCCGUAGCUGCUUAGUUUUGGAUUCGGGAUGUGUGCAUAUGGAGAUAUGCGAGUUUUCUGUUUGAUCUAUGUCCUGGUUUCGUGCCCUUGCUGCAAUGGUAGUGUAACGACAUACUCCUACCGGUCGGUUUCCGCCAUCGAAGUUAAGUGAUACACGUAAAUCCAGUUGCAGUGAGGGAAGAUCAAUAUGAUUGGUCAAAUCGAAAUCUAGGGUCAUACGCCAGGCGCAUUAGAUGUGCAAUAGUAGAUGGGAUCUAAUGCCGAGGUCGGGAUUUUUGCCGUAUGCGUAUGCUUCGGUAAAUCAACCGUAACUUUUCGGUACGAUCUCGGAUCGGGGCGAUUUUUAUACAAAAAUUGAUCUACAGAAAAAGUUACACAUGAAUUUCAAUGGCUUUGCCAUUCUCGGCGAAAUUAGAUUUCCCAAAUUUGGCUUGGAAGAUGGAGUUUUGGGCCUCCGAAGUUUGGAACGUUAGGACGCCUAACUCUGUUUUGCAGGAUGUAUGUAUGUAUCUUGUGAUCAGUAUGGCCCCCUUGUGUAUGUGAUGCAUGUGUGUAACUCAUUCGUGACCUGCGUGUCGCGCGUACGGCAAUACUGCAGGAGCCAUAUGUGUUGUCACUUUAUUGUAUUUAAUGGUCUGCGUACCAAUCUGUGAUGAUCCAAGCAACUAUGUAAUCUUCAUUACUAGAUUCUUUACUAGCUAUUAGGCGUAAUAGCAUGCUCUAGUUCUUGGAGGACUCAUCACCAGGAGGAUGGCGCACAUGGAACAUGGAGAUGGAGAUCACCAUGGUGAACAGGUUCUAUGGAGAUGGAGAUCACCAUAUGAAAAUGGGCCAUACUGUGUCACAACUGUGUGAAUGCUAUUCUGUUUAUGUUUUACUUUCUGCAUGCUGUGAUGUUAAAAGUAGAACGAUCCCUCACAAAGUUUAAGUUACUAUGCCCUCCCAACUAAAACUUGCACCGUCCCAUGUCUUGUACAAUUAGUGGUGGGUCUAUGAAAUUAGGGUGCCACUAGUUUUCCUUGACUAGACGGGUUUGUGUCGGACACUUACACGCAUAAGGGUUGGUUUGCUUAACAAGGUUAUCUUAACGGUUAAGGACCUUGGGGCAUAAAGGUUGGGCGCCGAGACAUAGAGAUGUCACCCAACAACAGGAGUCAUAUGUUGAUAUGAUUAGCAAAAGUUGCUUACCGAUCUACCUCGUUUGCUAGCGGUGAUGCUAAAGCUCACUAGUGGACUUGUUAGUUGUGGAUCCUGAAUCACUAAGUUUCAAUAGAGGGAUAUUGAUUUUAGUGGAAGUAGAUUCUGUUAAAAUAGUUUAAUGUAAUUUGCUCUAUCAUGGAUACGUUUGUCUUAGUGUAUUUUGCAUUACUUUUGUUGUAGAUUAAAUGGCACCUAGCAACACCACCGCAUCGUUUGCUUUGCGUUCGGUCCUUGAGAAGGACAAGUUGAAUGGAACAAACUACUCGGAUUGGAUCCAUAACCUGAGAAUUGUUCUCAGGGCUGAGAAAAAGGAAGAUGUUCUAGACACCCCACUACCACCAGUACCUGCUGAUGAUGCAUCUGCUGCCGUUAAGGCUGCUUACAAGAAGGCAUUUGAUGCUAAUCUUGAGGUAAGCUGCCUUAUGCUUGCUUGCAUGGAGCCCGAGCUGCAGAUGCAGUUCGAGACAAAUCAUGAGGCACACGAUAUGAUCGUGGCGCUCAAGGACAUGUUCCAGACACAGGCUAGGACCGAAAGGUUCAAUGUGUCCAAAGCCUUUCUGGAGUGCAAGUUAGCAGAAGGCGCAGCAGUAGGACCACAUGUAAUCAAGAUGGUUGGUUACACUCAGCGAUUGGAGAAGCUGGGCUUCCCAAUGGGCAAAGAGUUGGCCACUGACUUCAUUCUUUCAUCUCUUCCGCCUAGCUAUGGGAACUUCAUCUCGAACUACCAUAUGCAUGGGACGGAGAAGGGUCUGAAUGAACUGUGUGGUAUGCUCAAGACAGCAGAGGUAGACAUUAAGAAAAGCGCUAGUACCAGCCAUGUGAUGGCUGUACAGAACAAGCCUACCUUUAAGAAGAAGGGCAAUUCUUGGAAGAAGAAGGGCAAGGCUGGAGUGUCCAAGCCAAACCCAGCGCCCAAGGCUAAAGCUGGACCUGCUCCAGAUAAAGAGUGCUUUUACUGUCAUGAACUUGGUCACUGGAAGAGAAACUGCAAGCAGUACCUAGCUUCGUUGAAGAACGGCGGAAGUAAGAGUACCUCUACCUCAGGUACGCUUGUUGUUAAUGUUAUAGACAACAUAUUUCUCGCUGAUACAAUUAUUAAUUCUUGGGUAUUUGAUACCGGAUCGGUUGCUCAUAUUUGCAAUUCGAUGCAGGGAAUGAUAAAAAGUAGAAGUGUGGAAAGAGGAGAAGUUGAUUUCCGCGUGGGAAAUAAUGCAAGAGUUGCUGCUUUGACCGUCGGGACGAUGCAACUCCACCUCCCGUGAGGAUUUAUUAUGGAGUUGAAUAAUUGUUUUUUUGUUCCUAGUUUAAGUCGAAACAUUUUAUCUCCUUCAUGCUUGAUGAAGGAUGGUUAUUCAUUUGCGAGUGAAAACAAUGGUUGUGUGAUCUCUAAGAAUAAUAUGUUUAUGGCUUUUGCACCCAUUGUGAAUGGAUUGUUUGUUUUAAAUCUUGAUGGUUCACCUAUCUGUAAUGUAAGUGCUAAAAGGCCUCGGCCUAAUGAUUUGAGUCCUACCUACUUGUGGCAUUGUCGUUUGGGUCAUAUAAGUGAAAAGCGCAUGAAGAAGCUCCAUUCUGAUGGACUUCUAACUUCGUUUGAUUUUGAAUCAUACGAGACAUGUGAGGCUUGCUUGCUAGGCAAGAUGACCAAGACGCCUUUCACAGGAUUUCCUGAGAGAGCAGUAGACUUGUUGGAACUCGUACAUAGUGAUGUAUGCGGACCAAUGAGCACGACGGCUAGAGGAGGAUUCCAAUACUUCAUAACUUUCACUGAUGAUUUUAGUAGAUAUGGCUAUGUCUACUUGAUGAGGCACAAGUCUGAAACCUUUGAAAAGUUCAAGGAAUUUCAGAAUGAAGUUGAAAAUCAGCGUGGCAAGAAAAUUAAGGUCUUGCGAUCUGAUCGUGGAGGCGAGUAUUUGAGCCACGAGUUUAGCAAUCAUCUAAAGAGUUGCGGAAUUGUUCCACAACUUACGCCGCCUGGAACACCUCAGAGAAACGGUGUGUCCGAGCGACGUAAUCGAACUUUGUUAGACAUGGUUCGAUCAAUGAUGAGCAAGUCGGACCUACCGUUGUCAUUUUGGGGAUACGCUCUAGAAACAACAGCUUUCACACUUAAUAGGGUACCAUCUAAAUCCGUAGUUAAGACACCAUAUGAGAUGUGGACUGGAAAGGUUCCUAGUUUGUCUUUUCUAAAGAUUUGGGGAUGUGAAGUGUUUGUCAAGCGACUUCAGUCGGACAAGAUCACACCCAAGUCGGAUAAGUGCAUUUUCGUGGGAUAUCCAAAGGAAACUUUGGGAUAUUAUUUCUACAACCGAUCAGAAGGCAAAGUGUUUGUCGCUCGGAACGGGGUUUUCCUAGAGAAAGAGUUUCUCAAAGGAGAAAAGAGUGGAAAGAUAGUGCAUCUUGAAGAAGUUCAAGAUGAGCCAAUCGGGCAAGAAUCAAUGAGUGAUGCUAACGUAGCAGAACAAGUUGAGAUACCCAUGGCAAGAGAAGCACCGCCACAACCACGAAGGUCAGCAAGGCUCCGCGAAAUGCGGGAAAUAUUAUUGUUGGACAAUGAUGAGCCUGCGACAUAUGCAGAAGCAAUAAUGGACCCAGACUCCGAAAAAUGGCAGAGUGCCAUGCAAUCCGAAAUAGAGUCCAUGGGAGACAAUCAAGUUUGGAACUUGGUUGACCCGCCUGAUGGUGUUAAAGCCAUAGAGUGCAAGUGGAUCUAUAAGAAGAAAAAGGACAUGGAUGGAAAUGUUCACAUCUAUAAAGCACGACUUGUCGCAAAAGGUUUUUGACAAGUUCAAGGAGUUGACUAUGACCAAACCUUCUCACCCGUAGUGAUGCUUAAGUCCAUUCGGAUUAUUCUAGCUAUAGCUGCAUAUUUCGAUUAUGAGAUAUGGCAGAUGGAUGUCAAGACAGCUUUCCUGAAUGGAAACCUAGCUGAGGACGUGUAUAUGAUACAGCCCGAGGGUUUUGUCGAUCCGAAAAAUGCUGGAAAGGUAUGCAAGCUUCAGAGAUCCAUUUAUGGAUUGAAGCAAGCAUCUAGGAGUUGGAACAUUCGUUUUGAUGAAGUAGUCAAAGGGUUUGACUUCACCAAGAACGAAGAAGAGUCUUGUGUUUACAAGAAGGUUAGUGGGAGCUCUGUAGUAUUUCUAAUCUUAUAUGUGGAUGACAUAUUACUGAUUGGAAAUAACAUUCCUAUGCUUGAGUCCGUAAAGACUUCACUGAAAAAUAGUUUUUCGAUAAAGGACUUAGGGGAAGCGGCAUAUAUUCUAGGCAUUAAGAUCUAUAGAGAUAGAUCGAGAAGGCUUAUAGGUUUAAGCCAAGAUACUUAAAUUGACAAAGUGUUGAAGCGGUUCAGCAUGGAAGAGGCAAAGAAAGGGUUCUUGCCUAUGUCACAUGGCAUACAUCUCAGCAAGACUCAGUGUCCUUCGACUGCUGAUGAGCGGGAUCGCAUGAGUAGAGUGCCAUAUGCCUCGGCUAUUGGAUCUAUCAUGUAUGCAAUGAUAAGUACUCACCCAGAUGUUUCAUAUGCGCUAAGUAUGACAAGCAGACACCAAUCUGAUCCAGGUGAGAGUCACUGGACAGCGGUGAAAAACAUUGUUAAGUACUUGAGAAGGACUAAAGAUAUGUUCCUCGUCUAUGGAGGUGAGGAGGAGCUCGUUGUAACAGGUUACACCGAUGCUAGUUUCCAAACCGACAGAGAUGAUUCAAAGUCACAAUCAGGAUUUGUGUUCACGCUGAAUGGUGGUGCUGUUAGUUGGAAGAGUUCCAAGCAGGAGACGGUGGCCGAUUCUACGACAGAAGCCGAGUACAUCGCGGCUUCGGAAGCCACGAAGGAAGGUGUUUGGAUAAGGAAUUUUCUCAUUGAGCUUGGUGUGUUCCCGAAUGCGUCCAGCCCAUUGAAUCUCUACUGUGAUAAUAAUGGGGCAAUUGCGCAAGCAAAGGAGCCAAGGAACCACCAGAAAAACAAACACGUAAUGCGGCGAUUUCAUCUCAUUCGAGACUUCGUUAACCGGGGUGAGAUCAAGAUAUGCAAAAUACACACGAAUCUGAACAUUUCUAAUCCGUUGACAAAACCACUCCCGCAGGCUAAGCAUGAUGCGCAUGUAAGAGCUAUGGGUAUUAGGUACCUUCUAGAUUGACUCUAGUGCAAGUGGGAGACUGUUGGAGGUAUGCCCUAGAGGCAAUCAUAGAGAUGAUGAUAUUCCAUUUGUAUCCAUGAUUUGUAUAUUGUGUUCAUUGAAUAUCCAUUAAAGGCUACUUGAAUUGAUUUGCAAUUAUGUGAAUUGUAUGUGAAACUCUUUACUUGUAUGGUUAUUCUAAAGUUGUCCCUAGUCGGAGUUCAUGUGAGGACACACAUGAAUAUUAGACUAGCACAUGUAUUAGUUGAUGACUAUGUUUCACAAGUCAUGGACAUGGAGAUGUUGAACUAAUAAUGUGGACACAUGUGGAGACAUGUGCUAGGACUGACCCAACACGAGAAGUAGUUCUCUCUUUAAACAAUAUAUACGCUUUGUCCUUAGACCUGAGAUUGUCGCAUGUAUUCUAGAUGUGGAUCGACCUACUUAGGGGCUAUCAAACGCUACGCCAUAACAGGGUAGUUAUAAAGGUAGCUUUCGGGUUUGUCAAGAAGCAUGCUAUGAGACAUGGUCAAUCAAGAUGGGAUUUACCCCUCUCUGAUUGAGAGUGAUAUCUCUGGGCCCCUCGAGUGAUCGGAUCCGAAAAUGCAUGGCCAUGCUACGUACGGUUAAGAGUUAACCUACAAAGGGAUUCCGAAUCACAGGAUCGAGAAAGAGCGGUCGGCUUGUAGCUAGACCAAAUAUCGUGAGGCAAAGGGAAUAGCAUGUAUAUUAUGUUGUGAUGGUUCGUCUGAUAUGAUCUUCGUGUGUGUAUAGGAGUUGGCACGUCUUGCUAGAGGCCGCUACCGACUAUUGGGCCCAGUAGGAGUACUCGGGCCAUGUCUAUACGUAUCCGAACCCAUAGGGUCACACACUUAAGGGGCUGGAAGCCCAAUUCGGAUCUGAUCCGAGUUGGAUUAGGUUUAGAAGUGCUAAUGGGCCUCGGAUCCAGAGGCCCGUCAGGAACCUCUAUAAAUAGAGGGGUGGGGGCGCCCUAGGGUUUACACCUUUUUGGCGAAACACACCUGCCGCGCCUCCCACGCCCUCGCCUGUUGCAACUCGCGGAUCUAGCAGUCCGGCUUGCGACGCUUCCUCCCUGCACGUGUGGAUACCUUGGAGGUGUUGCGCCUGCAGCACUUGGACGAGCCAUCGACGAGCCGCCGACGAGCCACGACGAGCCGACGACGAGCCGCGGCACCGGAGGCGAUCUUGCUGCACGUGGACGAGCUGCUGAGGAGCUGCUGGACAUGAUCGACUACGCACGACUACGUUGAUCGACUACGUACGACUACGUGAUCGUCUUCACUGCAUCGACGCAUAUCUACAUCUUCCGCACCAGUAGUGCGUCGAGUGGUAAUCCCGUGAUCCUUAUACGGCAGUUCUUCCUGGUUAUACGCGGUAGAAUUUUUGUUUUGCGCUAGCGUAGCCUACCUCGUAUCCCUACACUGUAAGUGUCCGUUUAUCUCUACAUGUAAAUUUUGGCGUGCGUCACCGUACUAACUUCAUCUUCCAUUUCAUGUAGGAUGCUAAUUCAGACAUGCCGCCGAGAGGCGUACCUACAUGUAGGCUUCAUGGAUCCAUCUGUAGUUAACCAACGACAGAUACAAUUAGCGCCGGAAAAAACCUUUGCGGAAGUAUACAAUUUCCUAGACAAACAAACAUUCAAGGAUUUCAUACUACUUCCAUACAACUUCAAGUAAGUGUGUGUAUACCGUCUACUUUCGAUGUCUUUUUCCUUAUCUCUACAUGUUAGUUAGCUCUAAUAUGCAUGAACAUUUUACGCACGCAGCUUCCACUGGAUCCUUAUUAUAAUUGAGCCUGAAAGAAGCCACGUCACUGUCUUCGAUUCGUUAAGGAAAGAUCCGGUGGACUACCAAGAAGUGCAAGACAUGCUAGGCUUGUAAUAAUUCUGGACCUUUAUCUCUAUGCAAAAGUUUAUUUCCUAAAUUUUAUCCCUGUUACACUAUAUCAUUCAUUAUUCUAAUCCGCAGCGCAUGGAAACAAUUCAUAAGGACACACAAAGGUCCAUUCAAAGAAAAACUUACAUGGAACACAGACUUCCCAGUACGUAUGAAGUCUGCACAUUUAUUACAUUGUAUAACACGAAUAUUUCAUAACUUAUUUUUUUCCGCACUCAAGUGCUUAAGACAGGAACCCGGGAAUAAUCUAUGUGGCUACUACAUCUGUGAGCACAUGCACAGUUUUAUGGGACCCAAGGGACCGAAGAUGACGCCGCACAACUUUAAAGUACGUAAAAUAAAAUUAUUACUAGUUAAUUAUUUUCUAGCUCCUUAUAUGUAUUUGUUCGUGUAACAUUCACAAAUUUCUAAAUUAUAGAUGUUAAAUAUUCAACAAGGACUCUUGAAGGAAGAAAGAGUAGCGGCAAUAUGUGAAGGUCUCAUUGGAUUCAUAAUGGACGAGGUGGUAAAUCCAAAAGGAGAAUUUUAUUACGAUGGACGACAAUUAGACACUCCGAUCAGCAACACCACGACGGGAAGAUUGUAGACAGAUGCUUUGAUUUAUUUGUAUAUAUAAUACGCGCUAAUUAUGAUCGAUUUGUACUAAGCUAGUUGAAUUGUGUAUAUGAAUUGUGUAUAAGGAUUGUGUAUAUAUAUAGUAAUUGUAUAAUUACAAAUCCCAUUCGUUUAAAUACUAGUUGGUUAACAAAUUAAAAGGGCCGCGGUACUGCGUAUACGUGAUGCAUGCAUGAAAAAUUCAGGCGCUACGGCAGUGCCAUGCAGGCGCCAUUUAGUCCCGGUUGGAAUCCAGCCGGGACUAAAGGGUCCCCCUUUAGUCCCGGUUGGUGACACCAACCGGGACUAAAGGGGGACCUUUACUCCCGGUUAAAAGAUCCGGGACUAAAGACCCCCCCUUUUGUCCCGAUUGGUUUAUCCCGGAUGGAUUUUCGAGAGAUAUGCACCCUACCAACCGGGACUAAAGGCCAAUUCUCUACUAGUGGACGCAUCACGCAGGAUGUACAUCAUUUUUUCACUAUCAUAAAAUAACCAUACAGAGCACAGUUACUAACAGACAACUGCAAUUCCAAACAUUUUCUGAUUUUCGGUUAAGUAUGCAGAUUCUAGACUUCAUUUACUACGGAUCUAAUUUUGUCUCAUAGUAGCCUGCCUUUGGAAUUAAUGCCAUAUCCACACGGUUUCAAGUGUCGUUUGCAGAUCCAGUUAACCUCAGUUGCUGAGUUGCAGGGAUGUUUUUUUAGAGAACGUUCUAACUCGAGUACAGUUUUCUUGCCCCAUCCACACGGUUUCACUUAUUUCUUGCAAGAAGGCGGCGGCGAAAUUCCCCAAGAGCCCAGAUUGGGUACAGGUUGCGGUAGUUGCCGUAAUUUAAGUAUAGGGAACUGUUGAAGCACCCAACGUGUUCCUGCAAUCAAAGGACAGGUACCAGAAAGUAAGUGGAGUUGAACCAUCAGGUCUAACUAGAACAUAUAUAUGUUGAGGUGUGGUAGGACAGCAAGUGUCUAUUGCAUAAAAAAUGGACUUAUUUGUAUACAUUCUGGGAUUUGCUAUAUGCAUUCAUGCACAAGUCAUGUGGCCAGAAGUCAACUCCUUCAUGAAUGCAUAACCCGAACCUAUACAUGAUUGUACAUAUAGAAAUUGAAAUUUGAUUGACAUAUCACUUGUUAAGUAUAUAGCGUACGGUCGUAAGGAUGGUAGAGUUGGUACAAUAGCUGAGCAAGUUGCGAUUUUAGGCUGCGCCUGGGCAGCAGAGUUGCACUGGGCCUGGAUAUUUCUUGUUCUGGCCCGAAAUAAACUGGGUUCUGCACCAGUCUACUUACUGGGUUCGUAAUUACUUCAACUGUUAUUAAAUUGAUUUUCUUUAAUUUGACGCUAUAAAAUAUGAGUGAACUUACAAGGGCUGACCAUAGAUAUGUCUAGACUGUCUACAAUGGAUAUAUCAAAAUUUAUAUAUUAGCUUUGUCACUAAAGUAUCUUUAUAAUUUAGAACUUUAUUAGGAAAUUUAUUUAAAUUACAAAAGGUAAUGGUCCAGUUUCUAUACCUUGGAGACCUUACAAAACAAUAGUGACAAAUAAAUAUUUAGCUGAAAAAGAAGGAAACAACCAAAUUGUGAUGCUAAAUUUAAUCCUUCUACAAGCGAAAAAAAAUAGAAAUUACUUGUUGGGGAAAGUCGCCUGACUCUAAUUGCAUAUUGAUCAAUUCUUUUGCAGCAUGAUAUAGAGGUGUUGGAUCUCGUUCCACCUGCAUAGCAUGGACACAAUAUGAAAUAAUAAGCAGACAUCAUUGCAGUUAUUAAAUAUUGUACCUAUGACAUUUGUAAUGUGUAAAAUAUAUACCUGCCCACCAGAAAUUAAAGCCAACAUUGCCCAAGCAGUGUUUACUGCAUGAGGACCACUAGCCUCCACGUACGACUGCCAAAUAUUAAAGUGGAAGCCAUGAUAAAAUUCAUUAAGAUUUGGAGUAAUCAAUAUCUUCUUCAAAAGAAACAUGUUUGAGAUAUAUAUAGUACAGCUCCCAACAUCAAAUAUUGUGUAAUGUUUUUAUCGAACACACAGUUAUGGAGACAGUUAUAAAGCAGAUAAGGAAUUAUCCAAUAAGUUGGCAGAUUUUAAAGGAUUCAUAUAACUUUGUUUCUCAGAUUUCCAAUGCUAAGGAAUUCAGAUUUCGAGGGUUAACAUGGGGGGGGGGGGGGGGGGGUCGAUGCUACAAUUGAAGUGCUAUGUAAACCCUUUUUAAAAAAAGAAGAAGUGCUAUGUGGCCUAAUCAUGAAGGGAUGAUUGCCUGCAUGUAGACAUGCAGAUUUUCAGCAGUGCCGGGCAACCAUGGUUCAUUUAAAGAUUGUACAAGGUAAGGUGGGGCCAUGGCCUAGGUUGGCCUGUACAUAGCUCCGCCAGUAUGCAGUUAUGAUAUAGGAAACAAGGGUACUUGAUGUACACCAGUGAUGAGACAACUUAAUAUGUUACAAGAACCAGCAGUAAUCAUCCAGUUACAAGAACCAGCAGUAAACAUAAGAUAGAUAUUUUCUCUCAGUUGCACAGUAUCACAUAUAUUCUGAUAGAAUGUGAUACAAUAAUUUUUUUUAGAAAAAGGAUUGCCCGAUACUCCAAUUCAACGUAUAUUUGGAUACAACCGCUACCAUGAGCAGUUGAUUGCCAUUCAAUAGCCAAGGUUAACUCAAUACUAUCAAGAAAUAUGAUACUGCUGCCAAAUUAUUUUUCAACCACUGAUUCGAAUUUCUUCAGUAUUCCUAGAAACAACUAAACAUGGUAUUUGUUGUUGGAAACAAAGACUUGUGAAAACAAACACCUUAGAAUUGGAUCCUGUAGGUGGCUGUCACUCAGAUUAAUACAUUGUUAACAGAUAAUAUCAUGAAUCUAAAGUUAACCAAUAUAGAAACAUACCAUAACCUGACCAAACCCACCAAAUGGUUAUAGUUAUAAUUAAAUAAUGAAAAUUAACAGUUACCUCAGUUUCACUAGAAAGAUAAGUUUCACCCCAUCCACCUGUAGAUAGCUGCAUUGACAACAGAAAGCUGCAUGCUUUCCUGAUGGAGGAACUAUUUUCAUAAGUUCUUCCAGCAGCAGCUAAUCCUUUUACAGCAAAGAAUAAUCCGUAAGUGAAACAUACACCCCAAAUGCCAAACCUGUUAGAUCAUAAUUAAUCUAAUUAUUGAUUUCAUAAAUUUAAAGUUUGAAUAAUUUGCACAUAAUAAAUAAGAUGGUUUCAGAGACCAGGAGCCAUCUUUCCGUUGUUCCUUCUCAACAAACUUGGAUGUGCUUUUAAUGCAAUUUCCUAUCUCUUCUUUGCGGUACCCUGGAUCCAGCUAUCUGAACAUACUGAGAGCUUGGAGCACUGAUGAAGUGCACUCAACAGAUCUAUCAGUUGGUUAAAGAUAGUAAAUCAGGUCUCAUGUAUAUACAAUAAUUGGAAUCAGUUGUAUUUUUAUAAAAAUUAUGAGGAUAUUUCAUUUCUUACGGAUAGUCAACAACAAUGUUGAUAAAGCUCUCCGAAGGGUUGAGAACCUAUUGCCAACAAAUUCCAAGUUAGUAUGCAGUCACGCAUGAAAUUACUAUCGAGAAUAGCAUUUGGGUAAUUAAAGAAAAUGUUACACAAAAUGCACAGCCAUGCACAACCCUGAAAGCCAAAGUUCAUUUUACAGUUCAUAUUUGUCUUCCCAAACAAAUAAUUUGUUAUAUUAGCUAGGAGUGAGCUAUCUAUCUUAUUUAUGGCAAGCUAGAAGAUUAUAUGUGAGGUCUAGAAAGAGAGUUAGUAAUCAUCCAAUUUCUAAAUGCUUAAGAAUUGGUCAGGUUCAAAUUCUCUAUUCAACUGAAACCUUCGAACAUGGAAGUUACCCUUGUUUUCAAGGAAAAAAAGAGCAAUAAAAAGUACUCACCUCCAACAAAGAUGUGGCUCUUUUAUGCUCAUAUGUAGAAAAGGUGCCAUCAUCGUUCUUCAAUCAAUAAAAAAAAGCAUGCUCAAUAACAUUAGGUGUCAGGUACGACAUUAAAUUGUUCAUAAACUGGUUAGAAGAAUUAUAUAAAUAGAAAACAACAAUUUUGGUAAAUUUGGAAAUAUAACAAAAAGAGCAAUUGUGUUUUUUUCUCGAAUAUGCAGGAGAGCUGCAUAUCAUUGCAUUAAGAAGAAGAGUUAGGCCACAAUAGCCGUACAACACACUGAUCACCCCCAAGCACUUGGGGUUUAUAAGUUACAUUCGCACUGGGAUAAAACAGCAGAACGACCUACUACACUAGCAUUCCCAACUACUGGACAGGGUGUCUAGUGACGACCACAGCACUAUGUUUUUUAGCACCUGCAAGCAUCCAGAGAUCAGCUUCCUCCCGUGCAAGCACCUGGGUACUAAUGUCUGAGUGAUGAUGUCGCAAUUUUUUUUUUGGUGCCAAAGGUGCAAAUACCUCCAGAACGUGCAUUUUUUUUCUCUUUUAUAGUUUUCUUUUACUUUCGUUUUUCUUUUCAGAUGGCAGAUUGGUUCAAUCCUUGCUCAGGGAUUACACCAAGUGGGAUUGAGCCACCACCAACGAUGUGAUGGCUUCUGUGAAUGAAAUAUUCUCAAUUUUAAAAUAGUAAUAUAGACUUAAUUAAAACCAUUUGAACAUGUUCAAGUGCGAGACGAGUGUUGGAGUACAUUUGGUAGGCUAGAUAUUUUAUAUCCCAGACUGCCACAUUAUCAGGGAGGUGUCUUGCCCCCAAGUCUCUGUACUCUAUGUAUACUGCACGGGAGGUUCAGUGCAGAAUAUCCCAUGCAAUCUAUCCUUCCUAUGAAGAGGUUGCAAACAUGGAGCUAAUAGCGAGCCAGAUUAUGUCAUCUUUAGAAGUAAGGAUUUGUUUGGAUUACGCCGAUGCUGGCCGUGCUAAUCCAUCAGCGAGCCAAAUAAUUGGCGGCCGAUUCGCCCGCCCAUAGUUCGCCCGUGCGUUGGCGAAAAAAACAACUAGAGUGCAGGCAUGUGGUGUUGGCAUGCCAACGAUUGAUGUCGAUCCAAACGUACUAGGAGGUCCCAGUGAAUGACCAAAAUAUUGGUGGGGAUAGCGCUGGCACCAAUCCAAAUGCCCCCCUAAAAGUUCAUCAAUCUAUAAGAACUAUGACAAAUGAUCUAAAGCAGAGUCAUACCACAUAAGAAAGAAUGCAAUCCACAGCAUUGUACACACUUUCUCCUUUUAUGGGAUCCCCCACGAGACCUGAAGAGAACUUUGAUAACAAUAACAGUGCCUAAAGAAACGAAGCUGAGUGAGCAUGUGGCCUAUUAUAAACAUUUGGAAAUAAGGGCACUCGAAAAGAUUCCAUAUAAUCAUGAAUAAUGAUAAAGUUGCAUAAGUGUGUGCACAUGUAAAUUUGUCUGAAAAAAAUCAAUGACAGUAUAAAUAAGAUAAAUCAAGACCAACAGUGUUUGUUAUGCAUGUGUAGUAGUGCACAUGUCUUGUUUAUCCAACAGUAAUUUACUACUUUAGAAUCACAAGAGUAUAAGAACCGUAACAUAACUACUUUUUUUUUACUGAAAAUGGCUGAAAGAGUACUAUGUUAUUAUGACAUAGUAUAUUACUUAUGCUUUUACCAGGGAAGAACAUAAUCAAGUUUUGUUAGUAAAUAAGAAAUAUAUGAAGUAACUUGUCUUGACCUUGAGUGCUUCAGCAGUACAAUCAGACACAGACCACCCAUUAUCAGCUGUUGAAAGUGUCCAUGAACCUUUUGAUCUAUGGCGGUAGUAAGCUUCGUAGUCAGGAUGGUUUUCAUGAAUCUAUAUAAAGAUAUGCAUAUCAAGAUUUGCUAUGGAAAUAUUUCUUAAUUUACAAUAUGGAAGAAUAUAUGAUAGGUAACUUGAACCUGUGAACUUUUAAUGAAUUGAUGAGCUUUACGAAGUGUUGGACUAAACUCAUGAACAAGAUCUGUCGAGCAAUAGGCUUGGACAAUGAGAGCAGCCUCCCAGAUUGGACAACCAUCAUACACCUAUUAAAGGGAAAGAGUUUGUACAAUGCUUAUUAAGUCUUAACAAAAGAGAACAAGGUUGCUUCUGUAGAAAUAGAACGAACAUGCAAGUGGCCAUCUGAAACACUCUUUUCUGUAAAUCAUUGCGAUUGGGAAUAGCUAUGCUAAUUUAAAGAUUAAACAUAAUAGACCACCCAAUUAGUAUUUUGUGAAAAAAAAGGUUAGACUACUGUGAAGCAAUCCGUAGACAUGAACAUGACUUUUGGGUGAACAUUUCAGCAAUAUGCUAUCAAGAAUGGUAAUAUUCAAAUUUGUGGUCUAGUAGUAGUCACUGUAUGAUCAAUAUUAUGGAUUUUUAACGGUCCAAUUGAAAUUGGCUAUAACUAGAAACCAGUGUAAGGCUUUGUGUGAUUUGUGGCAUUUGGCACUAUAGAAACAUAUUUGUGAAAUUAUAAGGUCUCUGCUGUUAUGGCCUCUGACAAAUAUGGUGCUUGGAAUGUUAAGGCAUUGAAAUUCCAAUGUUCAGCCAGAUGGGAACUGUGUGUUGUGCAAAGACCAGUGCAAAUUCCAAUGUCCUUUCUCGGUGGCUUGUUGGCACAAAAUAGGAUUCCAUUGGAAUAAAGCUGCAUGCAUACAUGACCGACUGGUGUUGCCCAGGAAGACAAUGCAGCUUCCAUACUUCAUAGAAAUAUUUAUAGUUGCAUCAUGGGAAUUGUGGAACCUGCGAAAUGGAAAGAUCUUUGAUGGGAACAGAGCCUCUAUUCACCUUUGGACAUUGAAGUUCAAAGAGCAGGUCGUCCUUCAGCUUCAUUGUGUUAAGGAUGACUUUAGACCUAUAGUUAUUCAAUGGCUAGAUUCUAUUCUGUAAUCCUUUUCCUCCUUCUCUAAUGCUAGUAAGUAUGUCCUACACUUUGUAAAUAUUGUGUUUCUUUUUGAAUGAAUGCUGUGGGGAACUCCCCCACAGUUUUAAGUAAAAAAAAAAAUGGUGCUUGGAAUUGAAACAGGGGACUCAACAAUCAAGUCAUGUAUAGUGACUGUUGAAGUGAAGUUACGAGUUUCUUUGUAGCUAGGUUCGUAUUGACAAAUUCUUAACCAGAAGAGUAUCUAAUAUUUGUAGCCAAAGCUUUUCAAUAACAAUUAUAAAGUCACUAUCAAAAAUGAGAAAAUGGCGAGUAGUACAAUUGCUGCACAAGGCAUGACAAGAUAGUACCUGUGCCUUCAUUCCAUCUUCUGCAAGCCAUAAAAAAUCAUAUAUCCUUGGAAGAUGCUGCUUGAAUGCAUCUGAAUUUGGAUUUUCCACCCAACAACAAAUCAUAUUUAGACCCUACAUGCAAAAAGUUGAGAAGUAAUUAUAAAUUAAUACAAAGAUUCUUGUCCAAAUCAUUUCAGUCAUGCGUCAGAGUUAGUUCUCUUUUGACACUUUAAACUUUGAAAGAAACUUGAGGAUGCAUAAAUUGCUGCAGUAAGCUAACCAAGUUACAUUUAGCCAUUAUAGAUAUAUUUGGUAGAACUUCUCCAAAGUUUUAAGAAAUUCAAAUAGAUAGACUACAGUCAGGGCAAUGGGCUGAGCCUCAAAGAUUAUGCUUGAUAAUAUACUAUUUAUCAAAUCCAGUCAAUUCAGUAUAUAUCUGUGUCCAAACAAAAGUUUUGCAUUUGCCAAAAUGAAGGUCAAUUAGCAGAGAGAACCAUAAUUUCUCAUAUAGUAGCAAAAGUGGGCCCCAUUUUUUUUGUAAUAUCAGCACUAAAAUCACUCUCAAUAUUUUAUGAAUAUUACCUUGUUUAUCGGGCACAUACAGAUGUAUUUAGUAAUUUCAUCUUCAUAGUAGAUGUUGUGGACAACUUCUUUGGCAAGAAGUUCCACCGAAGGAACAAAGGGGCAGAUAAUCCGGGUUCAGCAGAUCAGUUAGAAUUAGAUAAGGAUUAGACUCCUAGUUGGUUAAGAAUUGUAACAGAAUUAGAUUGGAGAUAGAGUCCUAGUUAGAUUAGAGUUGAGUCCUAGUCAGUUAAGGAUUGUUGGCUGGCCCAAUAUAUAAGAGCCCUAGGCACCAUAGGUUAGGAUCAAGCAGGAACAGAUCCUAAACUCAGGGCCUCCCAGGGAGGGUGAGUAGGUACCUGUCGAUCUGCUAUUGUACUCCUUGCCCAAUAAACUAGCCAUAUCAGUAGAUAUGCUUCAUGAUGUUUCUCAAUGCUAUAUCUCUUAACUUGUUUACUGGCCAGCAAUUCAGCAUUGGCUCAACAACUUUACUAAGGCAAGUCCAUACAAGAUUUUGUGCCAUUGUCCGCGGAUAGAUAAGGUCCACCUGCAUGCACAAAAACAGAAAUAACAGAGAAUCAAAUUGAUGAAAUUGUAUUAAUCAAUUUUUUUGCUAAACAUACUAGAGAAGGCGCUAUAUAAUCUGGCUUCUUAUAUAUAAUCAUGAUAAUGAAGCUAAGAUAUGAACAUAAACCCUCGCCAAAAAAAAAGGAUAUGAGCAUAACAUUUUUAUGACCAAAAUGAUAUCACUUUAUGGUGGAAUAUAGAACUGAAGCUAAGAUAUGAACAUCAUUUUCGAGUAUUGAUAUGCUGCAGCUAAUAUCUUCUAAUUAACAUUUUCGAGUGUUGAUAUGAUCCAAACCAAUUAACAACAGCAACCUAUCAAAUAAGCUCAAUUUAGGGUCUCUAGGCCCACAUUUCUGUGAAAUAUCUCACGGAAAACAAAAUUUAUAUUGCAAUAUAAGACAUAUAAAUGAAUUGGUAGCAACAGCUCUUGUUGUAAUUAUUGGAGGUAAUUACAUGUCUAUUGGGCUAACCCUAGAGGGUAGCUAUAUAGUAGUCAUACAUGGGCCUUAUUGGGCCAUAAUACACACAUACAUACUCCAACACUCCCCCGCAGUCUGAACUACCGACGCAGCGGAGUUGUAGACUAGACAUGAAAAGAAGGACACACACACGAGCCCCCCCACAGACGCAACUAGCCACAGGUGAUGUUGAGGCUGGAGCGAAACUCAGUGAAGGCGGGUGACGGGAGGCCCUUGGUGAAGAUGUCGGCAAACUGAGAGGUAGUCGGGACGUGGAGGACCUGAACAUCACCGAGGGCGACCCGAUCCCGGACGAAGUGAAGGUCGAUCUCCACAUGUUUGGUCCGCUGGUGCUGAACAGGGUUGGUGGAGAGGUACACCGCACUGACGUUGUCGCAGUAGACAAGAGUGCUCCGGGAGAGAGGAGUGUGGAGCUCGGCAAGGAGCUGCCGAAGCCACGAUGCCUCUGCCACGCCGUUAGCGACAGCGCGGUACUCCGCCUCGGCACUGGAGCGGGAGACCACCGGCUGACGCUUGGACGACCAGGACACCAGGUUGCCGCCCAGAAAGACGGCGUAGCCGGAGGUAGAGCGCCGAGUGUCCGGACACCCGGCCCAGUCAGUGUCGGUGUAGACAACAAGCUCAGUGGAGGGAGACCUGUGAAGGAGGAGGCCGUAGUCCACAGUGCCCCGGAGGUACCGGAGUAGGCGCUUGAGAGUAGUGAGAUGGGGCUCCCUGGGAUCAUGCAUGUGGAGGCAAAUCUGCUGAACUGCAUAAGUGAUAUCCGGUCUGGUGAAGGUGAGGUACUGAAGAGCCCCAGCCAGACUCCGGUACGCAGUAGCAUCAGUCAUCGGAGUGCCGUCGGCCUCUGACAACUUGGCCUGAGUGUCAACUGGAGUGGAGCAGGGCUUACAGUCAGUCAUCCCAGCUCGCUCCAGGAUAUCAAGAGUAUACUGCUGCUGGUGAAGAAAGAGGCCGGCCUGACGAGGCUCAACGGUGACCCCGAGAAAGUGAUGGAGCACACCCAGAUCCUUCAUAGCGAACUCCUGCUGAAGUGAGGUGAUGAUCCGCCGUAGGAGGGACGGACUCGAGGCAGUGAGGACAAUGUCAUCAACAUAGAGCAGCAGAUAAGCAGUCUCAGCACCAUGAUGAUAGAUAAACAGAGAGGUAUCAGACUUGGCCUCCACAAAACCCAGUGUCAGUAGGUAGGCAGCAAACCGCGAAUACCAAGCUCGAGGGGCCUACUUGAGGUCAUAGAGGGACUUGUUGAGCCGGCAGACCAUAUCAGGCCGAGAAGAAUCAACAAAACCCGCUAGCUGGCUGCAGUAGACUGUCUCAGUCAGAGUACCGUGCAGGAAGGCGUUCUUGACGUCGAGCUGAUGCAUGGGCCAGGAGCGGGAGAGAGCCAGUGAGAGAACAGUCCGGACGGUAGCUGGCUUGACCACCGGACUGAACGUCUCAUCGUAGUCGACACCAGGGCGCUGAGUGAAACCCCGGAGAACCCAGCGGGCCUUGUACCGAUCGAGGGUACCAUCAGCCCGCCGCUUGUGUGUCCAGAUCCACUUGCCAGUGACGACGUUGGAGCCAGGCGGACGGGGCACCAGAUCCCAAGUCUGGUUGGCGAGGAGCGCCGCGUACUCCUCUUCCAUCGCGCGGCGCCAGUGAGGGUCCGACAGGGCGCCGCGGACAGAGGAGGGUACAGGAGAGACCUGCGACUCGCCGGGCAUCGCUGUAAGAGCCCGGGGCUACAGGGUACCAGCCGCAUGUCGCGUCACCAUAGGGUGAACAUGACGCGGGUGCCGGUGUAGGAGAGGCGGAUGGUACACCGACGGCGCGACACGGGCAGUCGGGGCCGGCGGAGGUGGUGGUGUAGGCGUCGCCGGUGGAGAAGAGUCCACAGGCGGUGACCGAGGCGGCGACGGUGGUGGCGGGGCCGGCUCCAGGUGUAGUGGAGCCGGCCGCGCCCGGCGCUGGUAGACGCGCACGGGCUGCGCGAACCGGGCAGCAGGAGCUGAGGGCGGUGCCUCCGGCCCCGCGCAGGGCGAAGGGGUAGGGGCAGCACCAGAGUCUGGCGCCGUCAGACCCUCGCUGGGCGCAGGGUCAGGGGCAGCACCGGUGGACGUCGAGCCUGGGGCAGCACCGGUGGGCGUCGAGCCACGUGAAAACCACGAUGGAGCAGUACCUGCAGGACAACGUCAGCGAUGGCUGGUCCACCGGGUCAGUGGGAAACAGGGAGGAGAGAUCAGGGUCGGAGGUGGAAGGGGGUGGGGAGGUGGUGGAGUAAGGGAAGACGGACUCGUCAAACACCACGUGGCGAGAGAUGAGGACCCGCCGAGAGGAGAGGUCAAAGCAACGGUACCCCUUGUGAUCCGGGGAGUACCCGAGGAAGACGCACUGAGUCGAACGGGGAGCCAGCUUAUGAGGAGCGGUGGCAGUGGUGUUAGGAUAACACGCACACCCGAAGACACGAAGGUGAUGGUAGCGGGGGGGGGGGGGUACCGAAAAGAGCGUGGUGUGGAGUGGGAGCGGGGCAGGCAACGGAAGGUAGGCGGUUAAGGAGAUAGGUGGAGGUAUGAAGACUCUCAGCCCAGAAGGGGGCAGGGAGAGAAGACUGGAACAGAAGAGAGCGCAUGGUGUCGUUCGUGGUACGAAUCAUGCGUUCAGCCUUACCGUUCUGGGAGGAGGUAUAGGGACAUGACAUGCGUAGGUGCACACCAUGAGAGAGGAAGAAGGCACGGGAGGUGGUGUUAUCAAACUCGCGGCCGUUGUCACAUUGGACGGCCUUGAUGGUGAGGCCGAACUGAGUGGACACCCAGGCGAAGAAGUGGAGAAGCGUGGGGAAAGCAUCAGACUUGGCACGCAAGGGAAAAGUCCAAGAAUAAUGAGAGAAAUCGUCAACCACAACAAGAUAAUACCUAUAGCCAGAAAUGCUCAAAACAGGCGAUGUCCAUAGGUCGCAAUGUACAAGAUCAAACAUAUGGGUCGCAUGUGAAGAGGAGGUAGGAAAUGGAAGGCGAACAUGACGGCCCAGUUGGCACGCCUGACACAGGUGCUCAUCAUGAGCCCGAGUACAUGGUAUGUCGGAACUACGACUAAGCUGUGUCAGGACAUCACGGCCAGGAUGACCAAGACGCCGGUGCCAUGUAGUGGAAGAAGUUGUGGCGGCAAAAGCAGCUGAAGAAGCGGAGGGCGAAGCGGAAGAAGUGGACGCAGGAAACCGAAGGGAGUAAAGGGGCCCGGUGCUGUCACAUCGGAGAAGAGGUCGCCGGGUAGCCAAAUCCUUCACAGUAAGACCAGAGGAGUCAAAUUCAACAGAACAAGAAUUGUCAGUGGUAAAACAGCGAAUAGAAAGAAGGUUGUGAACCAUGGAGGGAGCAACAAGAACAUCAGAAACCCGAAAAGAACCGGGAGUGUGAGCGGUACCCACGGAAGUGACAGGAAGACAAGAGCCAUUUGCGACCAUGAUGGACGAAGGGUGGGAGGAAGGAGGGUGAACAUAAGAGAGUAUACCAGGGUCGGGUGUAGUAUGGAAAGUGGCACCCGAGUCGGCGAUCCANNNNNNNNNNNNNNNNNNNNNNNNNNNNNNNNNNNNNNNNNNNNNNNNNNNNNNNNNNNNNNNNNNNNNNNNNNNNNNNNNNNNNNNNNNNNNNNNNNNNGAAUCAGGGUCAUCGCCCGAAAGAGCAGGCCAAGGCUGUCGGGUCCCCCCCAACAGGCCAAGGCGAGGCCCCGGGAGGUGGAGCCCACGGCGGCGAAAACGGAGCGACCGGUACAGCGCUAACGAGCAUGGUGGCCGGUGGAGGAGGUUCCCCACCGGUGGCCGGAAGGCCCACAUGGAGAUGCGCCCGGACCAUGGGUUGCCAAAGGAUGCCCAUGAAGAGCCCCGUGGAGGCGGCGGUGUGCCCCCACGACCAGUGCCCGCACCACGCCCCCCACCGGGGGGACGGCGGCCGCCACGGCCCCCCCCCCCCCACCCCCGCUCGGCCCAGGAGGAGGAGGACCAAGAAGGGACGACGGUGGCGAAGCGGAGGGAUGUGGCGUAGGAGUCACAGCAAGAGCGGUCGAGGAAGACGCGGAGCCCGGCGCAGGAAGGGACCCAGGCUGGAUGCCCUGAGUAAGCUCCUCCAUGACAAGGUCAUCACGGACCUGCACGAAAGUGGGGAAGGGCCGCUGCCGGGUGAUCCAGGUGCGGAGGUGGGCGUAGCGCUCGUUGAGGCCGCGAAGAACGUUGAAAACCAAGAUCCGGUCCUCCACGGCCCAGCCAAGGUCACCGAGGGAGUCCGNNNNNNNNNNNNNNNNNNNNNNNNNNNNNNNNNNNNNNNNNNNNNNNNNNNNNNNNNNNNNNNNNNNNNNNNNNNNNNNNNNNNNNNNNNNNNNNNNNNNCCCAAGUACUAAACUUUAGCACUCCAUUUGAGGGUGCUAAAGUUUAGCACUGUGCUAAAGUUUAGCAUUGUGUAUCCAAACGGGGCCUAAGACAAGUCAAUUUUUUUAACACAAUUUGAUUACUUCAUGAUAAUCCUACUCACAGAGAAACAAAUGCAUUUUAUUGGAAUCCCCACUUCAGUUCAAACACAUUUUUCUUUAAUUCAGGGUGUGGAAUCGCUCAAGCAUAUAGCUUGCCUUCUAACAGGAUGCAUUCUUUUCAAUUUUUAUGGAAAACUUACACGAAUAAGUUAUCGCGCACUUAUUUAUCUGAAGUUGUUUGUCUUUGUUUCUUUCCUUGCCUUGUAAGUAUGUAACCACACUGCCACACAGUAGACUCUCGAGGUCCUCUUCAUCGGGUAUCAGUAUCCGCAAUUCCACAUCCAGGCAUGCCUAACAUAGUAACAUGUACUCAAACUCCUUUGACGUCAUUAAUUCAUGAAGUCUAAAUUUUCAACUGCAGCGUCGUGUACUCAAACAUGUACCUCAAGCGCUGACUUUAGCUCAGCUGCAGCGUCGAGGGCAACCAGCAGUAUUCUUUUUUUUUUUUUGCCUGGCCUCGAGAUGCUCAUGGAUGGUCUGCAAAUUGCAAAGAGCACAUGCUCCCACAUGGUUUGAAAUUUUCCUUAGCUGGCUUCUCGUUGUUUGAAGAGUUGCAGAUCAAGAUGUACAAGUGGAACACAUCUGUACAAACGUCAUUCUAUAUUGCUGUAAUUCAUUGCAACCAAUCAAGCCCAUCCCACUUGGCUCCUCCAAGGUCAAUGCAUGCUCGCAGUCUCCAUUUUCCCCCAAAGCAGCUUCUCAAACCCAUCGUCUACCUUCGCCACCCUCUCCACAUUGCAACUGUGUUUCCCUGUGUCCACUAUCCUGCGCGUGUGUUCUGAUCGAGCUCCAGGCGUUCCAAUGGCUGAGGUACUGGCCACCAUGGUGGUCGGGCCACUGGUGUCCAUGGUGAAGGAGAAGGCCUCCAGCUACCUCCUGGAGCAGUACCAGGUGAUGGAGGGCUUGGAGAAGCAGCACAAGCUCCUCAAGCGCAAGCUGCCGGCCAUCCUGGACGUCAUCACCGACGCCGAGGAGCAGGCGGCAGCCAAGCGAGAAGGGGCGAAAGCUUGGCUGGAGGAGGUCCGACAGGUGGCCUACCAGGCGAAUGACGUCUUGGACGAGUUCAAGUACGAGGCGCUCCGCCGCAAAGCCAGGGAGGAGGGGCACUACAAGGAGCUCGGCAUGGAUGUAAUAAAGCUCUUCCCUUCUCACAACCGUUUUGUGUUUCGUAUCAAGAUGGGCAAUAAGCUCCGCAUGAUUUUGGAAGAACUUGAUGUCCUUAUCGCAGAGAUGAAUUGUUUCGGGUUCAAGUUCCGGCAAGGGCCACCAGUGCCCGUAAAUCACUUGAGGGAGAAUAGUUCUAAAAUCAUCGACCCUGUGGACAUUGCCGGCAGAUCCAGAGCUGGAGACAAGAAGAAGAUUAUUAAGUCGUUGCUUGAUAAAGCUAGCAAUGUGAAUCUCACGGUCUUUCCUGUCGUGGGGAUGGGAGGGAUGGGGAAGACCACCUUAGCCCAGCUUGUUUACAAUGACCCUGACAUUCAGAAGCAUUUCCAGCUGCGACUCUGGGUGUGCGUCUCUGACAACUUUGAUGUGGAUUCCCUGGCUGAAAGAAUUGUCGAAGAAGCUAAGAAGAAUGGUUGUCAAGCAAAUGGAAGUUCGGCAUUGGACAAGCUUCAAAAUGCAGUGAGUGGGAAGAGGUACCUCCUCGUAUUGGAUGAUGUCUGGAACCGUGAUGAGGCACACAAGUGGGAAAAACUGAAGUCCUACCUUCAGCAUGGUGGCAGCGGCAGCUCAGUGCUCAUAACAACUCGUGAUCAAGCCGUCGCUCAACUAAUGAUGGGUACAGCUACAGGAGCCUAUGAACUUGGACGCUUGGGUGAAAAUUUCAUAGAGGAAAUUAUCAGGUCGAGAGCAUUCAGCUCGAAACAAGAGAAGGAUUGGCCUCGUGAACUAGUUAACAUGGUUGGUGAUGUUGCAAAGAGAUGUGCUGGUUCUCCUUUAGCUGCUACAGCAUUGGGCUCUGUGUUAAGUACCAAGACCACCGCGCGUGAAUGGAAGGAUGUGCUAAGGAGAAAAAAGAUUUGUGAUGAUAGAAACGGAAUCUUACCGGUACUCAAGCUUAGUUACAAUUGCUUGCCAUCACAUAUGCGGCAAUGCUUUGCUUUCUGUGCUAUGUUUCCCAAGGAUUAUGAGAUUGACGUGGAAAUGUUGAUCCAGUUAUGGAUGGCCAAUGGUUUUAUCUCGGUGCUACAAGGAGAAGAACAUCCUGAAAUUUCAGGUAAAAAUAUUUUCAUUGAGCUUGCGUCAAGGUCAUUUUUCCAGGAUGUGAAGGGGAUCCCAUUUGAGUUCACUGAUAUAGAGGUCUCUAGAGUUACUUGUAAGAUCCAUGACCUUAUGCAUGACGUUGCAUUGGAUUCUAUGGGAAAAGAAUGCGCUGCUAUAGCUACAGAACAGAGUAAAAGUGGGGAUUUUCCACAUUCAGCUCGUCAUUUAUUGUUGUCAGUCAAUGAACCAGAAACUUUUCUGAAUGCUUCCCUGGAGAAAGGCUCUCCGGUUAUACAAACACUGAUAUGUGAGGGAGAUGUAGACAAAGACUUGCAACAUUUGUCAAAAUACAGGUCUGCGCGAGCAUUAAAGAUCAGGGGAGGUUUAGAGUUAAAGCAAACUUCAUUCCUAAAACCCGUAUGGCUACAUCACCUGAGGUACCUUGAUUUCUCAGGAAGCUAUGCUAUUAAAUCACUUCCUGAAGAUAUAAGCAUCCUAUAUCAUCUGCAAACAUUGAACCUUUCUAGCUGUCACUAUCUUGAACGACUUCCAAAGGGAAUGAAGUACAUGACUGCCCUCCGUCACCUCUACACUCACGGAUGUUUGAAGUUAAAGAGCAUGCCUGCUGACCUCAGACACCUCACUUCCCUACAGACGCUGACAUGCUUUGUAGCAAGUGCAGGCUCUGAUUGCAGUAGGGUGGGAGAACUGAGGCGGUUAGACGAUCUUGGUGGUCAGCUGGAGCUAAAACAGCUAGAAAAUGUGAAAGAGGCAGAUGCAAAAGAGGCAAAACUCGGAAAUAAGAAAAAACUGGCCAGAUUGACAUUGAGAUGGACUGAUGUUGACAAAGAGGCACGGAAUAGUGAUAGAGAGGUACUGGAAGGUCUGGAGCCUCAUGACGGACUGAAGGUUCUAGAGAUAUAUUCCUGCAGUAUCGACACUUGUCCAACAUGGAUGAAUAAGUUGCAAGGCAUAGUGAAGCUUAAGUUAUCCGAUUGCAAAAGACUCGAGAAGCUUCCUGCAUUCUGGCAGUUACCAGCUCUGCAAAUUCUUUGCUUGUACGGAUUGGAAAAUAUACGUUACUUGUGUAGCAGUGAUAUAGCCUUCACAUUUCAGAAACUGAAGAACCUUGAAAUUUUUAAGUUGCCAAACUUUGAGAUAUGGUGGGGCACAAGUGAGGUGCGAGGAGAAAGGCCAAUAUUUCCCCUGCUUGAGAAGCUGUUAAUCAAAGAGUGUAAAAGUUUGGCUGCAUUGCCGAAAGCAUCAGUUCUUAAAGAAACAUUUGAAGGGGUCAAGACUGAGUACAGGUCUGCAUUUCCAGCAUUGAAGGAAAUGGAGUUAGAAAAUCUUGAGAUGUUUCAGCGAUGGAAGGAUGGUGAAGGAACUCCAGGAGAAGAGCUAACAUUUCAUUGGCUUGAGAAACUAAUAAUUCGGAGUUGCCCAGCGUUGACUACUCUACCCGAAGCACCUAAGCUAAGUGUAUUAGAAGUAGGAGGAGUCAGCCAACAAAUAUCGUCCCUGCACGCAGCUAGCAGAUAUAUCACUUCAUUGUCCAGCCUGGAGUUGUCUGGCGAUAACACAGAAACAGAAUCGGUGGCUGAACAAAAUUCGAGUGAGUUGGUGCAUGGCAGGGAGAAAUGGGAGCAUAGAUCCCCUCUGACACGUAUGUAUUUACGGGGAUACAACCUUUUGUUCUCCCACUCAAGUGCACUGCCACUAUGGACAUGUUUUGCACAGCUCGUAGAUUUA